rnacentral:rRNA from 1 species
UACGUAGGUGGCAAGCGUUUGUCCGGAUUUAUUGGGCGUAAAGCGCGCGCAGGCGGUCCUUUAAGUCUGAUGUGAAAUCUUGCGGCUCAACCGCAAGCGGUCAUUGGAAACUGGGGGGACUUGAGUACAGAAGAGGAAAGCGGAAUUCCAACGUGUAGCGGUGAAAUGCGUAGAGAUGUGGAGGAACACCAGUGGCGAAGGCGGCUUUCUGGUCUGUAACUGACGCUGAGGCGCGAAAGCGUGGGGGAGCAAACAGG